AGGAACUGGGUCCUGGCGUAGCGGGUCAGCAUGUUGAUGAUGACGACCUGCCCCCACUCCUCCACGUCGAUCAGGAGGUUACACAGCUUCCUGUAGUUCUUGUGGAUCAGCUCAAUGCGCUCCGGACAAACCUCCUCAAAAGCCAUAACAACGCUUCCUGCCACCAGCUGCAGCACACGACACGUGACGGAACCAGGGGCCUGACUACUGAAAAGGUCUCGGUAGGUCACCUGUAGAGUUUAGGAAUCGCGUGAGCGGCUGUCUUCCUGACGUACGGGGACAUGUCAGAGGCAGCUUCUUUGAUGGCCAACAUCAUUAUGGGGACGAUGAUCGUGACUCGAAUGCUGGAGAGGACUCGCAGCGCGCUGGCUCGGAUCAGCUGGUUCGGAUCCUGCAGAAGCACAGAGCAAGAAUAAGGCCACAUUCUUCACCACAGCAGGGAAGAGAUCUGAUGCGUUUUUACCUCGGGCGAUCAUCUGCAGAGAAGAGCGAGAAGAAAUCAGAGUCCUGCAGCGAGGAUGAAUGGGUGUGGAGCUUCAGAUUAUGAAUUAUGAAUAUUUAACAGCUCAGUGCGCAGCUCUCUAACCACAGUUAUAUCUGUUAUAUUUGGAUCUGCAUCUCUCGUGGAAGAAAAGAAAACAUAUGGAGUCAAGUUUGGGACAGAGAACAAGCUUUGGGUCUUUUUCUGACUUAAUUAAAAAUGAUGCACGUUUGUUUUUCUCAAAUCUUUCCGUGUCUUUUGUCCCGUCACUCGACC